CAGACUAAAGCAGAGGCUGCGUGCAGGCAGGCAGGAAGUUACCGCUAUCGCUGAAUGGGACGAGAAGAGCACGGUGUCGGGGAUAGACAGAGAUAACCAGACAUGACGGAGAAACGGAUGUCGCGGUGGUACUUCGGGGGGCUGGCGUCGUGCGGGGCCGCCUGCUGCACGCAUCCCCUGGACCUGCUCAAGGUGCACCUGCAGACACAACAAGAGGUGAAGAUGAGGAUGGUGGGGAUGGCUGUCCAUGUGGUGAAGAAUGACGGACUGCUGGCUCUUUAUAAUGGCCUCUCUGCCUCCCUUUGUAGACAGAUGUCCUAUUCCUUAACCAGAUUUGCCAUCUAUGAGACAGUGAGGGACAUGCUGGGCAGCACAAGCCAGGGCCCCAUGCCCUUCUACCAGAAGGUCCUGCUGGGAGCCUUUGGAGGUUUUACUGGUGGUUUUGUUGGCACGCCGGCAGAUAUGGUUAAUGUCAGGAUGCAGAACGAUGUGAAACUACCACCAGAGCUGAGGAGAAACUACAAACAUGCCAUUGAUGGGCUUAUCAGGGUCUUCAGAGAAGAGGGAGUGAGGAAACUCUUCUCAGGAGCCACCAUGGCCUCCAGCAGAGGAGCGCUGGUCACUGUGGGACAGUUGGCGUGUUACGACCAAGCCAAGCAGGUGGUGUUGGCAACAGGCGUGAUGGGAGACAGCAUAUUCACACAUUUCCUUUCCAGCUUCAUUGCUGGAGGCUGUGCUACGUUCUUGUGUCAACCUCUGGAUGUGAUGAAGACCAGGCUGAUGAACUCAAAGGGAGAGUACACAGGUGUGAUGCAUUGCCUACGAGAAACUGCCAAGCUGGGUCCUCUGGCAUUUUACAAGGGUCUCGUCCCAGCAGGGAUUCGGUUGAUUCCUCACACAGUGCUCACGUUCAUCUUCCUGGAACAGCUCAAGAAGAACUUUGGCAUCCUCAUCAUCUCCUGAGCAUGCUCUGUGACCUGCCACCCUUUAACCCUUCAGCAUCCGCCACCCCACCUGCCAACAAGUCACUGGCUGGCACUGCCAUUUGCAACUCUUGAUUAUUGCUUAGUCACAAGGAAAGAAGGGAGGAAAGGAAGUAAAGUAAAUUUGUACGGGCAUUUGUAUGUUCCCCUUCUCUUUUUGCUGUACCUCUGUCUCAUUUGUUUUGGAAACUGGAAGCUUAAGAAUCAUGGACAUUCACAGCAGCCGCACCUUCUGAAAAGUGGUGGGAGAUACCAUGGUUCUGAAUGAUCUAGAUGAGAGGAAGCUGGACCAAGGAUAGAGCCUUGCAGAACACCACAGCUGAAACGGGCAACAGAGGAACAGGCAUUCCCUAUGACCACAGACAAGGUUUUAUAAGAGAGGUACGAAUGUAGUAUAUGUAGAGCACUAAAACAUUGUAAAACACACAGACACAAUAGAUAGCUGCUGUACACAGGCUCAGUGACAAGCUUCAUUUACCAUGGAAGCAGUAUUUUUAUACCACAACGUAACUCAUGUUAGCACAUAAAAUUAGAAAUGUUUAAAAGAGCAGCAUGAUAUAUCAAGUCAAGCACCAAGACACAAAAUAUUAAGUUGCCAAAUUUAAGGAGCCUAAAUCUCUUCACAUAUCAAACAUGUCAUCAAACAUGCAUGUUACACACUUUCUUUAUAUGUGCUUCAGUGUUCUCUCAGGGCUGCCUCACACUGCCUUCUCUCUCCCCUAUCUGUGGUGUCUGCUGUUGUCUGCUCUGCCUCCCACUGUUUGCAGUGUCUUCUGCACUUUCUCCUUAGUAAUAAUAACAGUAGAGUAAAUAACAUAGAAAUAUGAAUAAUAAUACUUUGGGCUACGUUUCAGUAGUUUUUUUUUUCUUGAUUCCUCUUUGUUUCAUUCCAAACCUCUUUCAUCAUUUAAUUCUUGAACCUAGAGGACAAAGCCUGUUCCUCUAGUGUUUUCAAGACAAGGAGGGAGAGGUUGGGGGAAUGGUGAGGCAGUGACAAAAUCAGAGAUGGUCUAAACAAUCUAAAUAUCUCUGUAUAGGCUUUGAUCAAAAUCCUGCUGAAGAUAAAUUUCUCAUCUCAUCUCUCAGUGACAUUCUGGUUCAGUGUCUGUCCAUUAGGAAUACUGUAUGAACCCUUGCACCGACAGAUAAUUGCUUGUACAAUGAAAAAGCAUUUCUAACUAAUUUUACCAUUCUAUCUAGAUGAAUAUAUGCCAGUCUCCAUGGCUCAGGAUGCUAAUCUGUUUUAAAAGGCACUUUAUUAAAACCCUGGAUUCACACAAAUACACAUUGCUGCAUAGAAAUCCAUAAUGCGCACAUGCUCAAUGCACAAAUGUAUUAUGUUGCAAACUAUUUACAUUCUGAAAGAAUCCACAGCCGUGUUAAUGACAUGUAAUUCCAGCAGAGGGGAUUCAAACUUUUUGUCGUGAUUCUAGUGUGUUGUUUUCUGAGGACAGAGAUUUAAUCUUGAUUCAGCCUUGUGAUAGAGGAAUAACAAAUCGCUACCUCUGUGCCAUGCCUGAUCUGUUUAUGGAGUCCUGUCAAGUCAUCUUGCCUUAUAGUGUGUGCCCCCAGGGGGCAGUAUGUGACAUCAUACCUCUAACUGGAUCUGAUUGAUUAGUAAUAGAUUCCUCUCCCAUAGCCUCCUAUUCACAUAGCCUUUUACCCUGUACCUUUUACCCAGAUUAAAUGAGAAGAGAGGAUAGGAUCAAUCAGCAAGACUGAAUGUGAAUGAGAUAGCCACGAGCUCUCAUUCCACUUGAGAAUGACUGUGUGUGUGCAUGUGUUUGUCUGUUUGAACAUGCGUGCAUGCUCUUCAUUUCAAGAGUAGCUCAAUUAUGAGAGACUGUGAAUUUGUAUUUUGUAAAUCAUUAACUAAUAAUUGUGGAAUUAAAAUACUAAUGAAAUAUGUCUCACUUUUUGUGUAUAUUUAUAUGUUUUGUGUAUACAUACACCUGCUGCACUCGU